CCUACGGGGAGCUGCAGUGGGGAAUAUUGGACAAUGGGGGGAACCCUGAUCCAGCCAUGCCGCGUGUGUGAAGAAGGCCCUCGGGUUGUAAAGCACUUUCAGUGAGGAAGAACGCCUGGUGGUUAAUACCCAUCAGGAAAGACAUCACUCACAGAAGAAGCACCGGCUAACUCCGUGCCAGCAGCCGCGGUAAUACGGAGGGUGCGAGCGUUAAUCGGAAUUACUGGGCGUAAAGCGCGCGUAGGUGGCUUGAUAAGCCGGUUGUGAAAGCCCCGGGCUCAACCUGGGAACGGCAUCCGGAACUGUCAAGCUAGAGUGCAGGAGAGGAAGGUAGAAUUCCCGGUGUAGCGGUGAAAUGCGUAGAGAUCGGGAGGAAUACCAGUGGCGAAGGCGGCCUUCUGGACUGACACUGACACUGAGGUGCGAAAGCGUGGGUAGCAAACAGGAUUAGAUACCCUUGUAGUC
rnacentral:rRNA from 1 species